rnacentral:rRNA from 1 species
AUACGGAGGGUGCAAGCGUUCUCGGAAUCACUGGGCGUAAAGCGCGCGCAGGCGGUCUUUUAAGUUGGAUGUGAAAGCCUACGGCUCAACCGUAGAACUGCAUCCAAAACUAUUAGACUAGAGUGUGGGAGAGGAAGAUGGAAUUAGUUGUGUAGGGGUAAAAUCCGUAGAGAUAACUAGGAAUACCAAAAGCGAAGGCAAUCUUCUGGAACACUACUGACGCUGAGGCGCGAAAGCGUGGGGAGCAAACAGGAUUAGAUACCCUAGUAGUCC